rnacentral:rRNA from 1 species
CCUACGGGAGGCAGCAGUGGGGAAUAUUGCACAAUGGGCGAAAGCCUGAUGCAGCAACGCCGCGUGAAGGAAGAAGGCCUUCGGGUCGUAAACUUCUGUCCUUGGGGAAGAAGAACUGACGGUACCCAAGGAGGAAGCCCCGGCUAACUACGUGCCAGCAGCCGCGGUAAUACGUAGGGGGCAAGCGUUAUCCGGAAUUAUUGGGCGUAAAGAGUACGUAGGUGGCAACCUAAGCGCAGGGUUUAAGGCAAUGGCUCAACCAUUGUUCGCCCUGCGAACUGGGAUGCUUGAGUGCAGGAGAGGAAAGCGGAAUUCCUAGUGUAGCGGUGAAAUGCGUAGAUAUUAGGAGGAACUCCGAUUGCGAAGGCAGUUCACUGGACUGCAACUGACACUGAGGCUCGAAAGUGUGGGUAUCAAACAGGAUUAGAUACCCCUGUAGUC